rnacentral:rRNA from 1 species
CGCGUAGGCGGAACAUACAGUCAGAUGUGAAAUUCCCGGGCUCAACCUGGGGGCGUGCAUUUGAUACGUGUGAUCUUGAGUGAGGAAGAGGGUCGUGGAAUUCCCAGUGUAGAGGUGAAAUUCGUAGAUAUUGGGAAGAACACCGGUGGCGAAGGCGGCGACCUGGUCCUUUACUGACGCUGAGGCGCGAAAGCGUGGGGAGCAAACA